rnacentral:lncRNA from 1 species
AUAACAGCAUGGAGCUUACCUGUCAAGCUGGUACUGUGGUCUAACAGCAAAAGACAUUCUCCCCUACCCAAUAAAACAAAUACACAAUAAAUAAUAUUCAGUAAUUGGGGGCAUUGGCUCUAGUUAUUUUCCAACUAAAAGAUAUAGAAACUAUUGGAAAUGGGCUUUUUAGAAGUUUUUAAAAAGAUUUGCUGUGAUUUCUUUUUUAUUAUUACUCAAUGAAUUUAUUACAUUUAUAGUUGUACAAUUAUCAUCACAAUCCGAUUUUAUAGGAUUUCCAUCCUACAACCCCAGCACAUCCCCCCAUACCCCAAACUGCCUCCUUUGGAGACCCUAAGUUUUUCAAGUUCUGUGAGUCAGUAUCUGUUCAGCAAAGAAGUUCAUUCUGUCCUUUUUUCAGAUUCUGCAUGUCAGUGACAGCAUUUGAUGUCGGUGUCUCAUAAGCUUUGCUGUGAUUUCUUUUAUUUCCAUUGGAGUUUUGAAUUUCGAAAGGGGAAUGGGUCCUGAAGAGCAGUCAUAUGGGGCAGAAAAUAUCGUUAAGGUGAGCUUGAGAAAUACAAGUCUGGCUAAGGAGGCAGGAACUGGGAAGCUGGGAUGAAACAGCCCAAGAGAAUGGGAACACAGGGAGUUUAUGUUUACUACACCGAGAUUACAGCUCUAGCAAUAUCUGUUGAAUGACUGAUUGGGUAUUUGAAUUGUUAGGUUCAAUGGAUAUCUGUAGCCUUUGCCAUCAUUAUCCAAUUACCCCUUACCUGAUAUAAAAUGCCUUCUGGUGUGAAUCACAGAAAAUGUCAUGAUCACAUUUUCUCCUUGCAGUGGACACACAAGCUCUUUGUGAAACCCACAAAACUGACUGUACAGAGUCUUGGCUCAUUCAAAAGCCUCAUUUCUGACCGUAACAUAAGCCCUGACCCAUUUCCACCUUCAUCUUUUCCUUUCUCCAUUCUAAUUCUUGUUUUACAAUGUUUUGUAAGCCUCUUUUAAAUUAUCCAAAAGCCAGGGUAAAGAAUGAGCAGAUUAAAAAAAUGAUAGGUAAGUAAAUGAAUAACAAAUCAUAACCAGAAAACACAUUUCUGCAAAAUGCUAUUAUAAACAUGAACAAUUUCAAUGACAAUUCAAUUCAGAAAUAAAAUAGAUAUGUCCAAAAUCUAAACCUCCUUCUGAAGCUUUUGCCUUAUUUUUAUGCAUCCUUAUAGGUUUUCUGUGAAACAACCAAAACAUUAAAGUUCAAGAAGCAAGUUUAUUGUUUGUAGACAUUUUCACUUUGGCCAUUCUGGCCAGUGUAAAAUGAUACCUCAUAGUGGUUUUGAUUUGCAUUUCUCUAAUAAUUAGUGAUGUUGAACAUCUUUUCAUGUGUUUUUGGCUAUCUGUAUGUCUUCUUUGGAGAAUGUCUGUAUACAUCUUCUGCCCAUUUUUGUGAUGGGGUUGUGGUAUUGAGCCAUAGGAGGUGUUUAUAAAUUUCGGAGAUUAAUCCCUUGUCAGUUGCUUCAUUUGCAAAUAUUUUUUUCCUAUUCUGUAGGUUCUCUUUUCAUUUUCUUUAGGGUUUCCUUUGCUGUGCAGAAACUUUUAAGUUUAAUUAAGUCCCAUUUGUUUGUUUUUAUUGUCAUUACUCUAGCAAGUGGAUCUGAGAAGAUAUUACUAUGGUUUAUGUCAGAGAGUGUUUGGUAUAUGUUUUCCUCUAAGAGUUUUAAGGUAUCUGGUCUAUAUUUAGGUCUUUAAUCCAUUUUGAGUUUAUUUUUGUAUAUGUUGAUAGGAAGUGUUCUAAUUUCUUUCUAUUAAAUGUGGCUGUCUAGUUUUCCCAGCACCACUUAUUGAAGGGGCUGUCUUUUCUCCAUUGUAUAUUCUUGCUUCCUUUGUCAUAGAUGAAUUGAUUGUAGAUGUAUGGGUUUAAUUCUGGACUUUUCAGCCUGUUCUGCUGAUAUAUAUUCCUGUCUUUGUGCCAGUACCAUACAGUUUUGAUGACUGUAGCUUUGUAAUAUAAUGUGAAAUCAGGGAGCCUGAUUCCUUCAGCUCCAUUUUUCUUUCUCAGAAUGGCUAUGGCUGUUCUGAGUCUGUUGUUCUUCUGAACAAACUUUAAAAUAUUUUGUUCCAGUUCUGUAAAAAAUGUCCUUGGUAAUUUGAUAGGGAUUGCAUUGAAUCUAUAUACUAUCUUGGAUAGUAUAGUCAUUUUGAUAAUAUUGACUCUUCCAAUCCAAGAGCAUGGUGUGUUUUUCCAUCUAUUUUUGUCAUCUUUGAUUUCUUUCAUCAGCAUCUUAUAGUUUUCAGAGUACAGAUCUUUUGUCUUUAAGUAGGUAAAUGCUGAAGAAGGUGUGGAGAAAAGGGAACCCUAUUACACUGUUGGUGGGAUUGUAAAUUUGUGCAACCACUGUCAAAAACAGUAUGGAGAUGCCUCAGAAAACUAAACAUAGAACUACCAUUUGAUCCAGCAAUCCCACUCCUGGGCAUCUAUCCAGAGAAAACCACAACUCACAGAGACACACGUACUCCGAUGUUCAUUGCAGCACUCUGCAAUAGCCAAGACAUGGAAACAACCUAAAUGUCCAUUGACAGAGGAGUAGAUCAAGAAGAUGUGGUACAUAUCACAAUGGAAUAUUACUCAGCCAUUAAAAGGAACAAAAUACCGCAUAUUUAGCAGCAUGGAUGGACCUAGAAAUUAUCAUGCAAAGUGAAGCUAGUCAGACAGUGAGACAACAACAUCAAAUGCUAUCACUUAUGUGUGGAAUUUUUAAAAAGGACAGACUGAACUUCUUGCAGAACAGAUACUGACUCACAGACUGAAAAACUUAUGGUUUCCAAAUGAGACAGGUGGAGGGUGGGGGGAAUAUGCUAGGGGUUUGGGUUGGAAAUGCUAUAAAAUUUGGUUGUGAUCAUUGUACAACUAUUAAAUGUAAUUGAGUAAUAACAAAAUGCUAUAAAUAAGCAGUUUAAAAAAUAGCCAAGUGUUUAAAGAAGUGAAAAUGUUUUUCCACCUCUUGGUCAACCAAUAUUGUAAUAGAAAAUCUCUCAAAUAAAAACAAGUGUAAUUCUCUCAAAGUCUGCAUAUACAUUUCUGAUUUGGGCUGUUUUCUUGCCUCCCAUGUAAUGAUUAUAUUUGCUUGUCUAAGGACAGAAUACUCAUUAAUUUGUUUGUGUCAUGCCACAUGUCAUUGUGUCCUUUCCCUUCCAGAGAAAUAUAGUAAUGAAAAAUUUAGACAGUAUGUUAUAGAUACACAGACAGAAAACAUGCUCCAUUUUCUGACACCACCUAGGUUGCAAUACUGACAUGACAGUUUCAAUCUUUGGAGGAGGACAUCUGAUUACAGUUUUGUAUUCCAUUGUUUUAAUCUAGAAUGUUAAGCAAGCAAAAAGGAAGAAAAAGAGACAAAACUAUUUUAAGACUUUACACCAUGUAGAGUAUUUUGCUCCCUUGAGAAGUAUUCCUCUGGCCAAAUGGAGGAAGUUAUUAUCAUCUGGCAAUUGCCCUGAAUCAAGCCCAGUGUGUAUGCCAGUGCUGGCUAAUCCACCAGUCUCCCUUCAGCUCCUUCUGUGCUUAAUAAACCUCUCAAUGCUGCUCUUCUUGGUGUGGAAAAUAGAUAUUCAAAUCCAACACAUAUUCUUUACUUAAUCUCUCAGACAUACACCAGACAAUUCAGAUUCAUGAGCAUUUGAGU